rnacentral:rRNA from 1 species
GAGUUUGAUCCUGGCUCAGGAUGAACGCUGGCGGCGUGCCUAAUACAUGCAAGUCGAGCGAACAGAUAAGGAGCUUGCUCCUUUGACGUUAGCGGCGGACGGGUGAGUAACACGUGGGUAACCUACCUAUAAGACUGGAAUAACUCCGGGAAACCGGGGCUAAUGCCGGAUAAUAUUUAGAACCGCAUGGUUCUAAAGUGAAAGAUGGUUUUACUAUCACUUAUAGAUGGACCCGCGCCGUAUUAGCUAGUUGGUGGGGUAAUGGCUUACCAAGGCAACGAUACGUAGCCGACCUGAGAGGGUGAUCGGCCACACUGGAACUGAGACACGGUCCAGACUCCUACGGGAGGCAGCAGUAGGGAAUCUUCCGCAAUGGGCGAAAGCCUGACGGAGCAACGCCGCGUGAGUGAUGAAGGUCUUCGGAUCGUAAAACUCUGUUAUUAGGGAAGAACAAAUGUGUAAGUAACUGUGCACGUCUUGACGGUACCUAAUCAGAAAGCCACGGCUAACUACGUGCCAG